GACGAACGCCGGCGGCGUGCUUAACACAUGCAAGUCGAGCGGAAAGGCCCUUUCGGGGGUACUCGAGCGGCGAACGGGUGAGUAACACGUGAGUAAUCUGCCUCUGGCUUCGGGAUAGCCACCGGAAACGGUGAUUAAUACCGGAUAUGACAUCUUCACGCAUGUGAUGGGUGUGGAAAGUUUUUUCGGCCAGGGAUGUGCUCGCGGCCUAUCAGCUUGUUGGUGGGGUAAUGGCCUACCAAGGCUUCGACGGGUAGCCGGCCUGAGAGGGUGACCGGCCACACUGGGACUGAGACACGGCCCAGACUCCUACGGGAGGCAGCAGUGGGGAAUAUUGGACAAUGGGCGGAAGCCUGAUCCAGCAACGCCGCGUGAGGGAUGACGGCCUUCGGGUUGUAAACCUCUUUCAGCACAGACGAAGCGCAAGUGACGGUAUGUGCAGAAGAAGGACCGGCCAACUACGUGCCAGCCGCCGCCGUAAUAC
rnacentral:rRNA from 1 species